rnacentral:rRNA from 1 species
AGAAUCAACGCUGGCGGCGUGCCUAACACAUGCAAGUCGAACGAGAAAGUGGAGCAAUCCAUGAGUACAGUGGCGUACGGGUGAGUAACACGUGACUAACCUACCCUCGAGUGGGGAAUAACCUCGGGAAACCGGGGCUAAUACCGCAUAACAUCUUCGGAUCAAAUGCGUAAGCAGCUUGAGGAGGGGGUCGCGGCCGAUUAGCUAGUUGGCGGGGUAAUGGCCCACCAAGGCAAUGAUCGGUAGCCGGCCUGAGAGGGCGCACGGCCACACUGGAACUGAAACACGGUCCAGACUCCUACGGGAGGCAGCAGUGGGGAAUUUUGCGCAAUGGGGGAAACCCUGACGCAGCAACGCCGCGUGGAGGAUGAAGCCCCUUGGGGUGUAAACUCCUUUCGAUCGGGACGAUAAUGACGGUACCGGAAGAAGAAGCACCGGCUAACUCUGCGCCAGCAGCCGC